rnacentral:rRNA from 1 species
AUGAACGCUGGCGGCGUGCCUAAUACAUGCAAGUCGAGCGAACGGACGAGAAGCUUGCUUCUCUGAUGUUAGCGGCGGACGGGUGAGUAACACGUGGAUAACCUACCUAUAAGACUGGGAUAACUUCGGGAAACCGUAGCUAAUACCGGAUAAUAUUUUGAACCGCAUGGUUCAAAAGUGAAAGACGGUCUUGCUGUCACUUAUAGAUGGAUCCGCGCUGCGUUAGCUAGUUGGUAAGGUAACGGCUUACCAAGGCAACGAUGCAUAGCCGACCUGAGAGGGUGAUCGGCCACACUGGAACUGAGACACGGUCCAGACUCCUACGGGAGGCAGCAGUAGGGAAUCUUCCGCAAUGGGCGAAAGCCUGACGGAGCAACGCCGCGUGAGUGAUGAAGGUCUUCGGAUCGUAAAACUCUGUUAUUAGGGAAGAACAUAUGUGUAAGUAACUGUGCACAUCUUGACGGUACCUAAUCAGAAAGCCACGGCUAACUACGUG